CAUCAGUCGGGAAAACAUUGGAUCACCCCCCUUACUCAUUAGGGGCAAGUGUGAUUAAACCACAGUCAUCUCCACGUUCACUCUGCUGGGGAACCAUAACAGACACUUUGUGCUCCUUCAGAGUUCAGCACAGAGAUGCUACGAGUUCCAGGCAGUCAUCUUACAAGGCACAGAGAACAUUAUUCGUUGUUCGUGCUGAGUGUCUUAGUUCGUUUGGGCUGCUGUGACAAAAUACCUUAGAUCGGGUCAUUUACAUACAAGACAAAUUGAUUUCUCACAGUUUUGGAGGCUGGGAAGCCCCGAGAUUAAGGCACCAUCAGACUCAGUGUCUGGCGAGGGCUCCCUUCUUCGGUUGCAGAUAUCCACCUUCUCUCUCUGUCCUCCCACAGUGGACAGAGCAAGCAAGCUCCCUCAGGCCUCUUUUCUAAGAGCACUGAUCCCACUCAGGAGCCUCAUGACUCAGUCUCCUCCCCAAAGCCCCACGUUUUAACUACCACCACAGUAGGGACUAGGUCUCAACAUACGAAUUCUGGAGGGACACAUUCAGAUCAUAGCACUUAAGGAAUCCAAACAUUUAUUUUUGAUAUAAAUGGGGAGAUCCAUUUAUUUUUAAAGAUGCAUUACCCUACUAAGUAAGCCCCCUUCGUUAUCCUCCUCUCUCCAAAGUUUUAGUAAAAGGAUGUAAUAAAAGAUGGCAACACUUUUCAUAUUCAAAUUGGGUCUAGGGUUUUGUCCAAACAUCUGGCUCUCAAUUUCUGAAUGCCUAGGUCAUUCCAGCCCCUUGGAAAAGAAUGUCUGCCCAUUCUUGUCCAUUGCCAGAGUGCUCCAUCUCAGCGGCUUUCCUCUGUGCCAUUUUGACUUUGCAACCAGGAAACACAUUUCAUGAACUUCAGCUUGCAGAGCAGAAGCUGUCACGGAGGUGACCCCAAAAUUCAUCCAAAUAGUCCAUCCAAGGCUGGCACAUUCUGUCUGGGAAAUCACGAAGAGGAGGAAAAAGGGAGAGGAGACGAAAUCAAACAUUGAUGCGCGGUUGAGCAAGGCCAGCCCCUUGGAAGAGAGCCAGGGUUGGAAAGCGGCAGCAGCAGCAGCAGCCCUGGGUUUCACAGUCUGGAAUGCACUUCAGUGCAGCCCAGCCUCCAUCUCGGUCGAGGCCUAGCGUUUGAUGAUUCAGCUGCUUCCCGGCUGCCAGGAGAGAUUUGGCCAACUGUUUGAAAAACACUGUCUGCCCCAGACCACACUUGUUUUUAUUCUCUGACUGUUGUCAGGGGCCUCUUCUGAAAUGGAACACCUCAGGAAAUCAGACCCAAACUCUGAGAAGUUUAUGCUGCCUCUGAGCCCCGUUUUCAAAGGCAAUUAAACCAAACUAGGGAUUGUUUGCACCAAAGUGCUUGCCUAGUGAUGUUGAAAGCAGACAGUGUGUUAUCGGGAAAUGAUCUCUCAUUAGAUCUCCUUUAGAUCAAAUGAAAAACAUAGCAUGCUAGCAGGCUCAUUAGACAUUAAAGGGACAGCUGAAAUCUGCCAUUGCUGAAGUCCCCGUAUAUCAGUUUGUUCAAAGAUGCAGGCUAAAGGGUAAUGGAGACAAGCAUUUGGGAACAAAUUGAGCAAGAGCCUCAGCUGUAGGUUGGACUAUUGAACUCGGCUGUUUGCUUCUGAGCUGUCCCUUGGAGCCGCAGACACAACUUUCUAACGAAGAAAGCCAGUCCUCAAAGUGAACUGGGCUUUCUCAUGCCCCAAGGAAAUGCAUUCCCCUCAAUGGAGCUCAGCAGUUAAGAGGACCAUCCCUGGAAUCAGACUAGCAGAAUUGGUCAACAACUCCACCAUUUGUAUUCCAGCCAACACUUCUCAUGGACCAUGUGGCAGAGUGAUCGAGAACCCAACUCGCUCACGGAGACCAUCCCGGGUUUGAAUACCAGGUCCACCAUUUACUGCCUGUUUGGAGUUGGAAUACACAACAGGGCACUCUGGUGAGAGAUUUCUACAAGAGUCAGUUUUGAAAACCAAUCUGGGAUGCAAAGUAAAGUUCACUGGGAUAAGCAAGUGAUGUAGAGAAGAGCAAGGUGUAUCUGAACAGAGACAUUGUGAACGGUCAGCACUGGGGCUGUCAGGUGGGAGAAGACAAAGAGGUAGGUUGGUGAAGGUAAAGUGUUUCUAUGCUUUGUGAUUCUAAAACCCUGAGAGUCAGCUUACCCAAGCAGGACAGAACUCCAGAAUGGCUUAUCUUAUUGCAAAUCUGAACACCCAAAUCCAGGCCUGAGCCAGCUGCUUUCAGCACAGGCCAACUCCUUGCUCAGGAGUUCCGUUCAGAGACAAAGCUUACCAGAUAGAUUUGUAUACUGUGUUGUAAUUGAAUGAUAUAAAAUCAGAAUGGGGUGGGCAUUUGGUACAGUGGCUGGGCUGCUUCAUGGGACACCUGCAUCCCAUGUUGGAGUUCAAGUUCCAGUUCUGCCUAUUCAAGCUUUCGACUGAUGCACAACCUAGGAGGCAGCAGGUAAUGGCUCAGGGAAUUGAGUCCCUGCCACCCACAUGGCUGGAUGGAGUUCCUGGCUCCCAGCUUUGGCCUGGUGCAGUCCUGACUGUUGUUUGCAUUUGGGGGAAUGAAUCAAACGAUAUGAGCACUCUGUCUGCCCCUCUGCCUUUCAAAUAAAUUUCUAAAAAUUAAAAAUCAGGAUAAAGGAACUAAUGGUGCUCUAAGAGGUCUUUCCAGCUCCUCUACCACCUAAAUAUUUCUUGCCAGACCUGUGUGUGGUUAUCUGAAGUCAGAAUAGCUUCUCCCCAGGGAGUGCUGGAGCUACUUAUGGGAAAUGGACAUGCAGUGGCUAUGUUCACUACCUGGCCUGAUGACAAUGUUGGUGUUAAGGGGAGAGUUUAUAGUACAGUAACAAAGCCCUGAUUUACCCCACGGUGACUUAUCCAGUCACGUUUAACUCAACCAAUUCUUUUAAAAGUCACAGAUGUCUUUGUUUUUCAGGCACAUCAGUGAGGACAAGUGGCUGACCCCAGCUCCUUUGGGAAGGGCUUAAAAACUGCCACUAAGCCCUCCAAAUCCCAUUCCUUCCAAGCAAAGAGGGAUCCCUUUUCAACUUCAUGCCUACUUCAACUUGAGGAGUAGGCAAAGAUGAAAGUCCUGGUUGGGACUUGUGAGAAAGCAAUAGCUUUAUAAGGGGGAGUUGCAAGUACCAAACCCAUCUCAGUGCAGGAUAUGCCACAGACAUUUCUUUGAUUGUUGGUGGACUGGCCAAUCAGUUGACUUCUAGUUCCUUUUUCUAAGCCUUUUCCACUAUAGCCACAUAUUAUUCACCUCACCUUUCUCCUUAGCCUUCUUUCCUUCCUCAGGUGUUUCUUGACAAUACUAUUGGGCACUAUUGUGGUUGCCAAUUUGUGACACCUAGGGUCUGCACCGUCGUCUUAUUAUUUCCAUCUCCAGGUAUGGCUUUACAUUUUUAAAAAAAUUAUUUAUUUUUUAUUUAUUUGAGAGAGAGAGAGAGAGAUGCAGAAAGAGGUCUCUCAUCAUUAGGUACACUCCCUUAAAUGCCUGCAAUAGCCUGGUCCUAACCAAAGCCAGAAGCCUGGAACUACACCUAGGUCUCCCACAUGGGUGGCAGGAACUCAACUACCUGAGCCAUCACCUGCUGCCUCUCAGGGUGCACAUUAGCAGGACGCUGGAACCAGGAGUGAAGCUGGUAAGAGAAACCCACAUACCCCAAUAUGGCAUGUGGGCAUCUUAACAGCUGUGCCAAACACUCACCUCUAUGGCUUUUUCAACCAGUGCACACCCUGAAUUGGGCCACUUGUGCUCUUUUUCAUGACCUAUCAAUCUUCUCACACCAUAGAGAUGAUGCAAGUGAACUCACUUAUUCUCUACUUCAGCUUCCCAAAAUGUAUAACUUUCUCUCCCGAAAUUCCUUAGAAUACAAAGGUAUUUCUGAGAGUUCAUGGUAAACAGAAUUAAAAGAUGCAUUUAUUUUGGCACAAAAAUUUUAAAAUCUAUGUAUGUAAGAGGUCUUCAAAAGGGAAUGAAACAGAGUAGGCCUUGUGGUGCAACAGGUUAAGCUACUGCUUACAAUGCCUGUAUCUUAUAUGGGAGUGCCGGUUUGCAUUCCAGUGACCAUGCUUCCAACCCAGCUUCCUGCCAAUGCAUCCUGGGAAGCAGCAGAUGAUGGCUCAAGGACUUAGGCUCCUACUACCCACUUGGGAGAUCUAGAUGGAAUUCUAGGCCUCUGGCUUUGGCCUGGCCCAGCCCUGGCUGUUGUGGGCAUUUAGGGAGUAAACAAAUAGAUGGAAGAUCUCUCUUUCUCUGUCUCUAUGCCUUUCAAGUAUAUGAAAAUAAAUAAGUAAAUAUUUUUCAAAAGAUUUGUUUAUUUAAGAGGCAGAGUUACAGAGAGGUCUUGCAUCUACAGGGUUCUCUUCCCACAUGACCACAAUGGCCAGAGCUGAGCUAAUGUGAAGCCAGGAUCCAGGAGCUUAUUCUGGGUCUCCCACAUGGGUUCAGGGGCUCUAGGACUUGGGCCAUCCUCUGCUCCUUUCCAAAGCACAUUAACAGGGGCAUGGAUCAGAAGUGGAGUAGCCAGGAUUCGAAGCUGUGCCUAUAUGGGAUGCAGGCGCCACAGGAGGAAGUCUAACCUAGAACACCAUAGUGCCAGCCCCAGUAAACAUUUUUAAAAGUUCAUAUAAAAUGCACAUUGUGAGAAAACUAUGCAUGAAUUUCAAAAAUUUUUGCAGUGAAAUAAGCUUAUCUUUUAAUUCUGUUUUUUCAUGAAUUUUCUGAAGUGUCAUCCUAAAUAGUCCUUGAUAUUAUCCUGAGAGAGUGACUUUCAAAUCAUUAGAGUAUAAAGCUUGUUGCAUUGAAAUGUCAAGACUUUAUUGUUUUUUACUGCUGUAUAGUACUCUAUAGAGUAUAUAUCCCAUAAUUUCUUUAUCCAGUCUUUUGUUGAUGGGCAUUUAGGUUGAUUCCAUGUCUUAGCUAUUGUGAAUUGAGCUGCAAUAAGCAUUGAG